UGAAACCUGAUGGAGGCUGAUGCUCA
rnacentral:piRNA from 1 species